ACCACCCAACGGCGGCCCAUCUCUCCCGCAGCAACCACCGUACCGGCCACCCGCCCAUCUCCUCCUCCUCUCACUCGCGUCGUAGCACCAUGCGCCGCACCUGCCGCGGCAAAGGGGGCCAGCCGCUGCCACCCCACUCCGUUGUGUAUGAGAAAGCACGGCACCACCGCCUCCCUAGGUCGCGACCUGUAGCGGUUCGGCUACCCCGGCACAGCCGUCUGCUGGCCCAGCGAGGAGGACGCUUUGAAUCUGGGACCUGCAGCAUUGGAUAGAGGAUAGUUACAUCUACAGUUGGUCCGCGAGCAUGGCAAGGCAUGUGCAUCUCAUCCUCUUCUCUGCACACUCACGCUUUUCAACAUUUGUGUGCCUGAUUGCAUGUUAGCCUCUUGUGACAGCCGACAGCGACGAUGAAAUAAUGCAUUGGCCCAUUGCCUGAUGAAGAAGAUGAGAGAAGUGAAGAUUAUGUAUGAUGAAAUAUUACAGAUCAUGCUUGGCACCUUAGCAUAUAUCCAAGGUCCAAACUCGGAUGCUACACAAGGAUUUCUUAUGCGAAGGUUAGCUUCAGCAGAACAAUAAUAUUGAUGAUGACGAUGAUGAGCUAGAGAAGCGAUGCACAGGGUAACCAUCCUGCCACCACCAGGGAGCUCUUGGUUGACUGCAAUCAGCGAGGCCUUGUCAACUUGCUGAUACCACUUAACCUCUAUGGCCUCUCAUUGCUCAAGAUGGAUAGUUUUGUGCAGGUUUGGCCUCAACCACUUCGUCCUGUCCUACUGCUACAUUUGGACCAUGACACUCAGUUCUAGCAAAACUAUUGUAAAGUUGCAGGCCAGACCUGUGAAAUCUGAGGCUUGUCACAGGAUGGUGUUCAUGGUCUAUAAGCUUUUGAGAUGUUGUCUUGGCUCCUCCUUUACAAACAACAUUAAUGAUGAUAUGCCUCUAAGGGUUGUAGUUAAGAGUUGAUGAGUGUUGUUUUCCAUGCUAUUAUUUGUCCCUUGUGCUGGUCGUUGAGAGGAGGGAGAGGGAGAGAGAGAUGGAGGGACAUCAAAGAGGAGUGUGGUAACCACAUAGGAAGACAUGGUUGUGUUGCAGCCAGUAGAGACAUGGUUUGUGUGCAAAUCGAUGCAAACCUGCUGUUGUGAUGGUUGGGGAGCCGAGGUAGCAGCAAG